CGUAUACUUAGCGACAGUGAAGGGUGAUUUUAGCACUAUAACUUUCGCAAUGCUGGAAAUAGUAAGAAAGACCGUGUUAGUGGAAGAAAAGAACAUCCUAAUUUUUGAGGCAGUUCUUGCAGAACUGAUGCAAGUGAUGGAAGUGAUAAAAAAUGAAACAAGCAUGAAGGCUGAAUAUAUGCACGAAGAGCAAAUGAUGACAUGGGCAAAGG